AAGAGCAGUGACCUUGAAAUGAAAUCAACCCUAAUCAGCAAUCUCUCCUGGACUUGUUUAUUUUAAUAAGUUAAUCAUUUUUAUCGUUCAUAGUCAGAGCUGCAUGGAAGAGGAAUGGGGCCCCUGAAAAACCUAUUCUGACGUUUUUCUCUGAAUUGAUUUAUUUAUUUUUCCAUAAGCAAGAAAAAAAAACACAAUGCUGGAAAAAAGCAAUAUUUAAAUUCCUGUCAAUGGCAAGAACACAGAGAAUUCAGACUUUUUCUCCGAUUUGCUCAGAUUGUUUAUGCUGCAUGAAUAAUUGAAUUUCUGCAGAAUAAAUCUGAGACAGGUUCCUGAAACAGUUAUGUGAUUAUUUGCACAACAAGAAUACACCAGCGAAUGUUUGGGUAUUUACUUGGAUUUUGACUAAUUGAAUUAGAAUCUGAUCUGAAGGUUCAGACCAGAGGUCAGAGGUCAGCCUGAUCUGAAGAUGGUUAUGUUUUUAGGUGAAAUUCUCUUUUCUUUUCUCUGAGCAGAGUGACGGCUUCAGCCUGUCGCUCGUUAGAGACGCUAAUCCCUCAGAGGGAGGAGAGUGAAUGUGGAGCUUAAACCGUUAGUGGAUCACAUGACGUCAGCUGACCUUAAAUAAGAGAAAAGUUCUGAUGGGUAACUGUGACAACAGGAGAUUGUUUCUACAGCUGGGAGCAGCUGAUUGGCUGAUUAGCAUCUCAAAAGCUCAGCAAACUCCAGGCUUCAUGCAGAGAGAAGCAGGAAGUGCAAAUCUUCACGGAUCAGACGUGCGACUACAGCGUCUCUCUGCUUUUAAUAAAACGGACAGAAAAGAUUUAAGAGAUAUUGAGCUGUUAGCAUCUCACAAACAGCAACAGUCUUCAGUCAGAGGCGUCCUCACAUUUUUUGCGAGGCUGACUGCUACUGGAGAUCCUUCGUGCCCACAGCAUCACCAACAGCCACUCUAAAGGUGCUUGGAUGAUGACAAGCGUUCUGCCUCCAGCACGAUUCCCUCUGCAUGUCCUGCAUAACAGAUUCCCCAGAGAAACGGAUCAUGCCACUGCAACUAUUUUCCCUUUUCUAAGGUUAUCCCAGAAAAGUCUCAUCCUGAACACAGCACCAAGAUCAGCUGCAGCACCAAGAUCAGCUGCAGCACCAAGAUCAGCUGCAGCACCAAGAUCAGCUGCAGCACCAAGCUCAGCUGCAGCACCAAGAUCAGCUGCAGCACCAAGAUCAGCUGCAGCACCAAGCUCAGCUGCAGCACCAAGAUCAGCUGCACACAAUCAGUUCAUCUCAGACGAUCAGCAGAGAAACAGAGUUGGCCGAUUUGCUUCCUGACGGAUGCAGAGCAUUUUACCAACACACGAAAAGAGGCAGCACAUUAUUUUAGUUUUAAUCUAUUUACACUGGCUGCCAGUUCAUUUUAAAAUAAAAGAUAAAAUGUUAGUAUUUACGGUUAGAGCGCCUGUCUCUGAGACUUGGAGCCGCUCGGCUCUGCUUGCAGUCGGAGAUCUUCCAGCCAAAGAUUGCAGACGCCUUUGCCUCCAUCUUUGCGCCAUUUCAACUCAGUUGAUUCUUCUAAGAAACAGAACAUUCAUUUAUUAAGACUGGCUUCUAAUAGGUUUUAUGCUUCCUUUUAAUUAGUUAUUUUAAACUUUAUUUAACCAGGGAAGCUGACUGACAACAAAUCCUCCUUUUUUUUAACAAUGACUUGUUCAGGAAAUAGAAAAAUAUCACACAGCAGAAAACAGAAGAAUAUCUUAGAACAAAAAUAAAAAUACAGCCAAAUUUAUAUUGCCUAACAUUUAGAUACAUCUUUACUCCAACAGAGCAAGAUUGGCUCUGAUGGUUCCAGGUUAGAGGUUAGAGGUCAGGGUUCAGGGGUUAGCCUAACCUAACUCAUUAACUGGAUUCAGGUGUGUUGAAGCAUGAAGCAUCUGGAAGCUGCAGGACAGAAGCUCUGGAGGACUUGAGCAUCCCUGGACUGAACAAACUACAACACACAGGAUAAGUCAACAGCUUUUCUCCGAGUUGAUCAAAAUCGAUAUUGGAGUUAAUCUUCUGAGCUUUAGUGUUUUUUACAAGUUGUUCCAAUAACUGGGUGCAGCAAAAUGAAAUGAUGAUUGGUCCAUUGAUGUGAUUAAUUUUUUAGAAUAUAAAAUGCAGGUAUUGCUGGAAAAAUGGAUGAGUGAGGCAACAGUAGGAAGGAUUUGGUUUUUCCAGUGAUAGCUUAAGCGAUUAACUUGUACCAAUUUAUUAAUCUGGGUGAAUGGAGUGAUGACCAGUUAACAAGAGAAUGUAGACGACAAACAUUGGUAUUAAAACCUUUGGUGGAUAUUGAGAAAAUGUUUGAUCUUUCAUGUAUUCUGUUUUUAUCAGUUUUUUAUGCUUUUAUCACAUGUUUUUAAUCUUUGUUUCUAUUUUAAAACAACUUGUGAUUCUCUAACCUGUGAAAGGUGCAACAUAAAUAAUAUUUUCCUUUUAUAAGGCUGCAGCACUAACAGUGAUGCACAUUUAGCUUGUACUAUUUCUUUAAACGAUGAGGGAGGCAGAUGGACUUCUUUGGGAAAGUAAAUGUCAAAGGAAAUUUAUUCAUUAGUACAUCUAAAAAAAAAACAACUUAAAACUGUUGACCAAAGGGCUCUGUGUGUUUAAAUGCCAAAGAAUAAAAAGUAAAUAAAUAAACAGGUUUUGAGAUUUGAUGAGGUUCUCAGUAUUAAAAGACAAGCUGUAUAAAAUGUCCUCCAAAACAGGAAGCUGCCAUGAAAAGGACGUUUUAAUGGUUGUUAUGGAGACUUAGUUACCAGUCGUUGAGUACGUGUAUGUUUUCAAUCAAGAAUAUAAAUGCAAGUUCGUGCUAUCGCACUAAACUCGCUGUCGGUAUAGUUUAAGUAUUUCCAGUUAUUACAAUGUCAAAGAGGAGUACAAAUUUGUUGAAUCCUUUUCCUUGAUUUAAAAAAAGUCUUAGUGUGUUUUACAUUUCCACAUGUAGUUGAAUUUUGCUUUAUUUAUAGGUUUAAUUACAUCUUGAAUGACAUUUUUACAAAACGGGGUUGUUAAUUUAAAUAAAUCAAAG